UUUAAAUAUUCUGAGAGAAGAAUUUGGAGUAUUCUCAGGCACCACAGGCUAGAAGACAUUGGUACUUCUCUCAGUAAAGGCGAUCUUCAGGUUCCAACCCUGGAGCUUUCAUGCCUUCAGGAGGAAGAGUGCCUGAGAAGCAUGCUGUCUUUGCGAUCUAGAACAAACUUUGUCCUUUCUAGAAUAGGAGGAGACAACAAGGCGAGUCUGAAACUGAAAGGGAAGGUCUGCGUGUUGAGGCUGGUUGUCCAAGGUAAGUGUUCCCUUCUCCAUUUACUGUAGGAGCAGCGCAGUGUGUAACAUACGAAGUUUGCACAUUCCUGCAGCUUGGUUUCGAGUCCCAGAAUUCUUACUGAUGCGAUGUUGAUAGUGUGGUUGCCUAAUGAACCAGUUCUAGACUCAGCUUUUAACGUAAAACUAAAAGAGAUGAAAGACUUGCAGAUUUUCAGACCCUGGAAACCCUAGAUCUAGAUAACACAAAAAGGCGCUUCUCCCCUUAGUAGUCAGGAUUGUCAUGGUUACCUAUAAAACAGUAUUUGCAUUUCAAAGAAAUCCACAUUUUUU
rnacentral:lncRNA from 1 species